GCCGUCUACCUUGGCAUUCUAUCUAAAAAGGUACAAACAUCGCAUUGUCAAAAAGAGGUCGUUUUAGUGCGUAGGCGCUGUGGGACUUCAUUGUCCCGAUGAUGCAGCGAAUCGUGCAUACGAGAUUGUCCAGUAGUUGGUUGCUCGUAUCUUUAGAAGAUAGCCAAAUGACUCGUCAUCUAAUUAGUGACGCGCAUGAAUGGAUUAACGAGAUUUCUACUGUCCCUAUCUACUAUCAGCCGAAACCACAGCCAAGGGAACGGGCUUGGAAUAAUUAGCGGGGAAAGAAGACCCUUUUGAGCUUGACUCUAAUCUGGCAGUGUACGGAGACAUAAGAUGUGUAGAAUAAGUGGGAGAUAUUAUUCCUUGUGUUUGAUAUCGCCAAUGAAAUACCACUACUCUUAUUGUUUCCUUACUUACUUGAUUAAAUGGAACGUGUAUCAUUUCCUAGCCAUUAUACGGAUAUAUUUAUUAUAUCGUAUGGUAUUGAGUUUUGAUGCAAGCUUCUUGAUCAAAGUAUCACGAGUUUGUUAUAUAAUCGCAAACAAAUUCUUUAAUGAGAGAGUGCAUUUAUGUAUUUUUAAUUUGAAAUAUUUGGUAUAACUCCAAUUACUCAGGUAUGAUCCAAUUCAAGGACAUUGCCAGGUAGGGAGUUUGACUGGGGCGGUACAUCUCUCAAAUAAUAACGGAGGUGUCCCAAGGCCAGCUCAAGGCAAAUGCUGACUUGAUCUCGGUGUUCAGUACACACAGGGACAGCCUCUAAUGUUAGGAAGCGCUGUUCCAAGAAGGAUAGGAAGUCCUUUACUUCCUGCAGAUCCCUUGU
rnacentral:ncRNA from 1 species